rnacentral:rRNA from 1 species
UACGUAGGGGGCAAGCGUUGUCCGGAAUCAUUGGGCGUAAAGCGUGCGUAGGCGGCCCUGUAAGUCCGCUGUAAAAGUCAAAGGCUCAACCUUUGAAAGCCGGUGGAUACUGCAGGGCUAGAGUCCGGAAGAGGCGAGUGGAAUUCCUGGUGUAGCGGUGGAAUGCGCAGAUAUCAGGAGGAACACCAAUAGCGAAGGCAGCUCGCUGGGACGGUACUGACGCUAAGGCGCGAAAGCGUGGGGAGCGAACAGG